UACAGAGGUCUCAAGCGUUGUUCGGAUUCAUUGGGCGUAAAGGGUGCGUAGGCGGCGCGGUAAGUCGGGUGUGAAAUCUCGGAGCUUAACUCCGAAACUGCAUUCGAUACUGCCGUGCUUGAGGACUGGAGAGGAGACUGGAAUUUACGGUGUAGCGGUGAAAUGCGUAGAUAUCGUAAGGAAGACCAGUGGCGAAGGCGGGUAACUGGCCGGACACUGACACUCAGAUCCGAAAGCGUGGGGAUCAAACAGG
rnacentral:rRNA from 1 species